GUGAAUCAUCAAAUUUUUGAACGCAAAUUGCGCCUUCUUUCGGGAAGGCAUGUCUAUUUGCUGGCACCAUUUAACAAAUAAUGUGCAGCGUGUUGUUUUGCACACGUUUAUGAGCUUUCCAAGAAUUUUAAAUUUUUUGGGUCGCAUAAUGAACAGCGUGAAAGGUUUUUUCAGUUCGAUUGUAUUUAAAUCUUUGCUUGGGGUUUUAAAAAACAUAAUCGCGCAAGGGGUGUGGCAAUUUCUUUUUAUCCCUUCCCCAAUUCCACU
rnacentral:misc_RNA from 1 species